GAUGAACGCUGGCGGCGCGCCUAACACAUGCCAGUCGAACGAUUAAAGCACCUUCGGGUGUGUAUAAAGUGGCGAACGGCUGAGUAACACGUGGGCAACCUGCCACUUUCAUUGGGAUAGCCACGGGAAACCGUGGAUAAUACGGAAUACUUCGAGACUUCCGCAUGGAAGACUCGAGAAAGCUGCGGCGGCGAGGGAUGGGCCAGCGGCCUGUUAGGUUGUUGGUGGGGUAGCGGCCUGCCAAGGCAAUGAUGGGUAGCUGGGUUGAGAGACUGACCAGCCAGAUUGGGACUGAGACACGGCCCAGACGCCUACGGGAGGCAGCAGUGGGGAAUCUUGCACAAUGGGCGAAAGCCUGAUGCAGCGACGCCGCGUGCGGGAUGAAGGCCUUCGGGUUGUAAACCGCUUUCAGCAGGGACGAGGCGAAAGUGACGGUACCUGCAGAAGAAGCCCCGGCUAACUACGUG
rnacentral:rRNA from 1 species